CAAUACUGGGCGGCGACCGGCAAACGGGUGCGGAACACGUACACAACCUUCCGAGAAGUGGGGAAUAGCCCAGAGAAAUUUGGAUUAAUACCCCGUAACAUAACGAUGUGGCAUCACAUUGUUAUUAUAGCUUCGGCGCUUCUUGAUGGGUGUGCGGCUGAUUAGAUAGUUGGCGGGGUAACGGCCCACCAAGUCUACGAUCAGUAGCUGAUGUGAGAGCAUGAUCAGUCACACGGGCACUGAGACACGGGCCCGACUCCUACGGGAGGCAGCAGUAAGGAAUAUUGGUCAAUGGACGCAAGUCUGAACCAGCCAUGCCGCGUGAAGGAUUAAGGUCCUCUGGAUUGUAAACUUCUUUUAUCUGGGACGAAAAAAGGCGAUUCUUCGUCACUUGACGGUACCAGAUGAAUAAGCACCGGCUAACUCCGUGCCAGCAGCCGCGGUAAUACGGAGGGUGCAAGCGUUAUCCGGAUUCACUGGGUUUAAAGGGUGCGUAGGCGGGCAGGUAAGUCAGUGGUGAAAUCCUAGAGCUUAACUCUAGAACUGCCAUUGAUACUAUCUGUCUUGAAUAUUGUGGAGGUAAGCGGAAUAUGUCAUGUAGCGGUGAAAUGCUUAGAUAUGACAUAGAACACCUAUUGCGAAGGCAGCUUACUACGCAUAUAUUGACGCUGAGGCACGAAAGCGUGGGGAUCAAACAGGAUUAGAUACCCUGGUAGUCCACGCCCUAAACGAUGAUUACUCGACAUUUGUGAUACACUAUAAGNNNNNNNGCGAAAGCAUUAAGUAAUCCACCUGGGAAGUACGACCGNCAGGUUGAAACUCAAAGGAA
rnacentral:rRNA from 1 species